GACGAACGCUGGCGGCGUGCUUAACACAUGCAAGUCGAGCGCUGAAGGCUGGUACUUGUACUAACUGGAUGAGCAGCGAACGGGUGACUAAUGCGUGGCGAACCCUCCUCUUAGCGGUGGACAACAGUUAGAAACGAAUGCUAAUACUGCAUAAAAACUUUAAACACAAGUUUUAAGUUUGAAAGAUGCAAUUGCAUCACUCAAAGAUGAUAUCGCGUUGUAUUAGCUAGUUGGUGAGGUAAAGGCUCACCCAGGCGAUGAUACAUAGCCGACCUGAGAGGCGGGUAGGCCGCAUUGGGACGGGGACGGGGCCCAAGCUCCUGCGGGAGGCAGCAGUAGGGAAUCUUCGGCAGUAGACGAAAAUCUGGCCGAGCAAGGCCGAGUGAGUGAAAGAAGUGUUCGGUUCGGGAAACUCUGUUGGUGGAGGAAAACGUUUGUGGGAGUGGAAAGCUCAUCAAGUGACGGUAACUACUAAAGAAGGAACGGCUAACUACGUG
rnacentral:rRNA from 1 species